rnacentral:rRNA from 1 species
UGCGUAGGGGGCAAGCGUUGUCCGGAUUUAUUGGGCGUAAAGAGCGUGUAGGCGGCCUGAAAGGUCAGCUGUGAAAACUCGAGGCUCAACCUCGAGACGUCGGUUGAAACCAUCUGGCUAGAGUCCGGAAGAGGAGUGUGGAAUUCCCGGUGUAGCGGUGAAAUUCGUAGAUAUUAGGAAGAACACCGGUGGCGAAGGCGGCUCACUGGCUCAUUUCUGACGCUCAGGCGCGACAGCGUGGGGAUCAAACAGG